rnacentral:piRNA from 1 species
UGCCACAGCCUGUUCCCCUAGAGUGGC